rnacentral:rRNA from 1 species
AGAGUUUGAUCCUGGCUCAGGACGAACGCUGGCGGCGUGCCUAAUACAUGCAAGUCGAGCGAACCAAUAAGAAGCUUGCUUUUUGUUGGUUAGCGGCGGACGGGUGAGUAACACGUGGGUAACCUGCCUGUAAGACCGGGAUAACUCCGGGAAACCGGUGCUAAUACCGGAUAGAUUAUCUUUCCGCCUGGAGAGAUAAGGAAAGAUGGCUUUUGCCAUCACUUACAGAUGGGCCCGCGGCGCAUUAGCUAGUUGGUGAGGUAAUGGCUCACCAAGGCGACGAUGCGUAGCCGACCUGAGAGGGUGAUCGGCCACACUGGGACUGAGACACGGCCCAGACUCCUACGGGAGGCAGCAGUAGGGAAUCUUCCGCAAUGGACGAAAGUCUGACGGAGCAACGCCGCGUGAGCGAAGAAGGUCUUCGGAUCGUAAAGCUCUGUGUUAGGAAAGAACAAGUAUCGGAGGAAAUGCCGGUACCUUGACGGUACCUGACGAGA